GAUGAACGCUGGCGGCGUGCCUAAUACAUGCAAGUCGAGCGAACGGACGAGAAGCUUGCUUCUCUGAUGUUAGCGGCGGACGGGUGAGUAACACGUGGAUAACCUACCUAUAAGACUGGGAUAACUUCGGGAAACCGGAGCUAAUACCGGAUAAUAUUUUGAGCCGCAUGGUUCAAAAGUGAAAGACGGUCUUGCUGUCACUUAUAGAUGGAUCCGCGCUGCAUUAGCUAGUUGGUAAGGUAACGGCUUACCAAGGCAACGAUGCAUAGCCGACCUGAGAGGGUGAUCGGCCACACUGGAACUGAGACACGGUCCAGACUCCUACGGGAGGCAGCAGUAGGGAAUCUUCCGCAAUGGGCGAAAGCCUGACGGAGCAACGCCGCGUGAGUGAUGAAGGUCUUCGGAUCGUAAAACUCUGUUAUUAGGGAAGAACAUAUGUGUAAGUAACUGUGCACAUCUUGACGGUACCUAAUCAGAAAGCCACGGCUAACUACGUGCCAGCAGCCGCGGUAAUACGUAGGUGGCAAGCGUUAUCCGGAAUUAUUGGGUGUAAAGCGCGCGUAGGCGGUUUUUUAAGUCUGAUGUGAAAGCCCACGGCUCAACCGUGGAGGGUCAUUGGAAACUGGAAAACUUGAGUGCAGAAGAGGAAAGUGGAAUUCCAUGUGUAGCGGUGAAAUGCGCAGAGAUAUGGAGGAACACCAGUGGCGAAGGCGACUUUCUGGUCUGUAACUGACGCUGAUGUGCGAAAGCGUGGGGAUCAAACAGGAUUAGAUACCCUGGUAGUCCACGCCGUAAACGAUGAGUGCUAAGUGUUAGGGGGUUUCCGCCCCUUAGUGCUGCAGCUAACGCAUUAAGCACUCCGCCUGGGGAGUACGACCGCAAGGUUGAAACUCAAAGGAAUUGACGGGGACCCGCACAAGCGGUGGAGCAUGUGGUUUAAUUCGAAGCAACGCGAAGAACCUUACCAAAUCUUGACAUCCUUUGACAACUCUAGAGAUAGAGCUUUCCCCUUCGGGGGACAAAGUGACAGGUGGUGCAUGGUUGUCGUCAGCUCGUGUCGUGAGAUGUUGGGUUAAGUCCCGCAACGAGCGCAACCCUUAAGCUUAGUUGCCAUCAUUAAGUUGGGCACUCUAAGUUGACUGCCGGUGACAAACCGGAGGAAGGUGGGGAUGACGUCAAAUCAUCAUGCCCCUUAUGAUUUGGGCUACACACGUGCUACAAUGGACAAUACAAAGGGCAGCGAAACCGUGAGGUCAAGCAAAUCCCAUAAAGUUGUUCUCAGUUCGGAUUGUAGUCUGCAACUCGACUACAUGAAGCUGGAAUCGCUAGUAAUCGUAGAUCAGCAUGCUACGGUGAAUACGUUCCCGGGUCU
rnacentral:rRNA from 1 species